GGGCAAGUGGCGAAAUGGCAGACGCGCUGGCUUCAGGUGCCAGUGUCCGCAAGGACGUGGGGGUUCAAGUCCCCCCUUGCCCA
rfam:Segniliparus rugosus ATCC BAA-974 genomic scaffold acqcO-supercont2.1, whole genome shotgun sequence.